AGCGAGCCUAAAGUAAACUGAAAGUAAAAAAGAGAAGAGACUCCAUUCCGAGGCUUUAAACCUGUUAACACUGGGUGAUUAAACAGGCACAUAUUUAGUGAUCAAAUUAAACUCACAGGCAAAAUGCGGAGGAGAAGAAGCAGCAAGGAAGAACCUCCUGAAAUGAAUGAAGGAGGAGGAGGAGGAGGAGGAGGAGGAGG